AGUGAACGCUGGCGGUAGGCCUAACACAUGCAAGUCGAACGGCAGCACAGGAGAGCUUGCUCUCUGGGUGGCGAGUGGCGGACGGGUGAGGAAUACAUCGGAAUCUACUUUUUCGUGGGGGACAACGUAGGGAAACUUACGCUAAUACCGCAUAUGACCUACGGGUGAAAGCAGGGGAUCUUCGGUCCUUGCGCGAUCGAAUGAGCCGAUGUCGGAUUAGCUAGUUGGCGGGGUAAAGGCCCACCAAGGCGACGAUCCGUAGCUGGUCGGAGAGGAUGAUCAGCCACACUGGAACUGAGACACGGUCCAGACUCCUACGGGAGGCAGCAGUGGGGAAUAUUGGACAAUGGGCGCAAGCCUGAUCCAGCCAUACCGCGUGGGUGAAGAAGGCCUUCGGGUUGUAAAGCCCUUUUGUUGGGAAAGAAAUCCAGCUGGUUAAUACCCGGUUGGGAUGACGGUACCCAAAGAAUAAGCACCGGCUAACUCCGUGCCAGCCGCCGCGGUAA
rnacentral:rRNA from 1 species